rnacentral:lncRNA from 1 species
GUAAUAUCAUUAAACUAUGUACAGCUUAAAUUGUGUUUCAUAGAAUUCCACAGUGUGUAGUUGAAGGUUAAUUCAUUCCAUUACCCUUUUUUCCCCAUUUAUUACCUUGGGGGUCACUCAGCUGCUUCACACCUGACUUUUUGGACCCUUUCGAAAUUGACCACUGGUCUAAUUUCUCAUUUCCCCCAAGUCAUUAAAUGUAAUACAUCUACAUUUAUUUCUCUCUCCACCGUCAAUCUAACCCCCUUUAUCGUAGCCACCUGCUAUGAGAUGGAGCAACGCUUCAUACCCUUAUAGGAACUCAUCUGGUUCCGGUUGGUUGACGGAGUGUCCAUGUCCAUGGGGCUUGGUCCAUCUAUACCAAGUGUCGUCGACAGGGCCUGGAGCUAAAUUUCCCUUUGCUGAGUACUUGACUCCCAAGGGCC